CCCCUCUCAGGAUUGCACCUGGAAAGUUUCCAGUACUCUCCCAGUCUCGGCUAUGGGAGGGAGAGUUAAGCAGAGACUUAACUCCAUUCCAUUCCUAGCUUGGGCAGUGGCUAGCGAGUGGUAGGUAAUCUGCUACGAGU